GGGCCCGCACAAGCGGUGGAGUAUGUGGUUUAAUUCGAUGCAACGCGAAGAACCUUACCAGGGCUUGACAUCCUGCGAACCUCUGUGAAAGCGGAGGGUGCCUUCGGGAACGCAGUGACAGGUGGUGCAUGGCUGUCGUCAGCUCGUGUCGUGAGAUGUUGGGUUAAGUCCCGCAACGAGCGCAACCCACGUCUUUAGUUGCCAGCAUUGAGUUGGGCACUCUAGAGAGACUGCCGGUGAUAAACCGGAGGAAGGUGUGGAUGACGUCAAGUCAUCAUGCCCCUUACAUCCUGGGCUACACACGUACUACAAUGCUACGGACAAAGGGCAGCAAGUUCGCGAGGACAAG
rnacentral:rRNA from 1 species